rnacentral:rRNA from 1 species
AAACAAAACUAUUCGCCAGAGUACUACCGGCAAUAGCUUAAAACUCAAAGGACUUGGCGGUGCUUUAUACCCUUCUAGAGGAGCCUGUUCUAUAAUCGAUAAACCCCGAUAAACCUCACCGUUCCUUGCUAAUACAGUCUAUAUACCGCCAUCUUCAGCAAACCCUAAAAAGGUACAAAAGUAAGCACAAUCAUAAUACAUAAAAACGUUAGGUCAAGGUGUAACCUAUGGAACGGAAAGAAAUGGGCUACAUUUUCUAAUCUAAGAAAAUCCAACACGAAAGUUAUUAUGAAACUAAUAACCAAAGGAGGAUUUAGCAGUAAACUAAGAAUAGAGUGCUUAGUUGAAUUAGGCCAUGAAGCACGCACACACC